rnacentral:rRNA from 1 species
GACGUGCUAAUCUGCGAUAAGCGUCGGUGAGGUGAUAUGAACCGUUAUAACCGGCGAUUUCCGAAUGGGGAAACCCAGUGUGUUUCGACACACUAUCAUUAACUGAAUCCAUAGGUUAAUGAGGCGAACCGGGGGAACUGAAACAUCUAAGUACCCCGAGGAAAAGAAAUCAACCGAGAUUCCCCCAGUAGCGGCGAGCGAACGGGGAGGAGCCCAGAGCCUGAAUCAGUGUGUGUGUUAGUGGAAGCGUCUGGAAAGGCGCGCGAUACAGGGUGACAGCCCCGUACACAAAAAUGCACAUAUUGUGAGCUCGAUGAGUAGGGCGGGACACGUGGUAUCCUGUCUGAAUAUGGGGGGACCAUCCUCCAAGGCUAAAUACUCCUGACUGACCGAUAGUGAACCAGUACCGUGAGGGAAAGGCGAAAAGAACCCCGGCGAGGGGAGUGAAAAAGAACCUGAAACCGUGUACGUACAAGCAGUGGGAGCCUCUUAAUGGGGUGACUGCGUACCUUUUGUAUAAUGGGUCAGCGACUUAUAUUCUGUAGCAAGGUUAACCGAAUAGGGGAGCCGAAGGGAAACCGAGUCUUAACUGGGCGUUAAGUUGCAGGGUAUAGACCCGAAACCCGGUGAUCUAGCCAUGGGCAGGUUGAAGGUUGGGUAACACUAACUGGAGGACCGAACCGACUAAUGUUGAAAAAUUAGCGGAUGACUUGUGGCUGGGGGUGAAAGGCCAAUCAAACCGGGAGAUAGCUGGUUCUCCCCGAAAGCUAUUUAGGUAGCGCCUCGUGAAUUCAUCUCCGGGGGUAGAGCACUGUUUCGGCAAGGGGGUCAUCCCGACUUACCAACCCGAUGCAAACUGCGAAUACCGGAGAAUGUUAUCACGGGAGACACACGGCGGGUGCUAACGUCCGUCGUGAAGAGGGAAACAACCCAGACCGCCAGCUAAGGUCCCAAAGUCAUGGUUAAGUGGGAAACGAUGUGGGAAGGCCCAGACAGCCAGGAUGUUGGCUUAGAAGCAGCCAUCAUUUAAAGAAAGCGUAAUAGCUCACUGGUCGAGUCGGCCUGCGCGGAAGAUGUAACGGGGCUAAACCAUGCACCGAAGCUGCGGCAGCGACACUAUGUGUUGUUGGGUAGGGGAGCGUUCUGUAAGCCUGUGAAGGUGGCCUGUGAGGGUUGCUGGAGGUAUCAGAAGUGCGAAUGCUGACAUAAGUAACGAUAAAGCGGGUGAAAAGCCCGCUCGCCGGAAGACCAAGGGUUCCUGUCCAACGUUAAUCGGGGCAGGGUGAGUCGACCCCUAAGGCGAGGCCGAAAGGCGUAGUCGAUGGGAAACAGGUUAAUAUUCCUGUACUUGGUGUUACUGCGAAGGGGGGACGGAGAAGGCUAUGUUGGCCGGGCGACGGUUGUCCCGGUUUAAGCGUGUAGGCUGGUUUUCCAGGCAAAUCCGGAAAAUCAAGGCUGAGGCGUGAUGACGAGGCACUACGGUGCUGAAGCGACAAAUGCCCUGCUUCCAGGAAAAGCCUCUAAGCAUCAGGUAACAUCAAAUCGUACCCCAAACCGACACAGGUGGUCAGGUAGAGAAUACCAAGGCGCUUGAGAGAACUCGGGUGAAGGAACUAGGCAAAAUGGUGCCGUAACUUCGGGAGAAGGCACGCUGAUAUGUAGGUGAAGCGACUUGCUCGUGGAGCUGAAAUCAGUCGAAGAUACCAGCUGGCUGCAACUGUUUAUUAAAAACACAGCACUGUGCAAACACGAAAGUGGACGUAUACGGUGUGACGCCUGCCCGGUGCCGGAAGGUUAAUUGAUGGGGUUAGCGGUAACGCGAAGCUCUUGAUCGAAGCCCCGGUAAACGGCGGCCGUAACUAUAACGGUCCUAAGGUAGCGAAAUUCCUUGUCGGGUAAGUUCCGACCUGCACGAAUGGCGUAAUGAUGGCCAGGCUGUCUCCACCCGAGACUCAGUGAAAUUGAACUCGCUGUGAAGAUGCAGUGUACCCGCGGCAAGACGGAAAGACCCCGUGAACCUUUACUAUAGCUUGACACUGAACAUUGAGCCUUGAUGUGUAGGAUAGGUGGGAGGCUUUGAAGUGUGGACGCCAGUCUGCAUGGAGCCGACCUUGAAAUACCACCCUUUAAUGUUUGAUGUUCUAACGUGGGCCCCUUACCGGGGUUGCGGACAGUGUCUGGUGGGUAGUUUGACUGGGGCGGUCUCCUCCUAAAGAGUAACGGAGGAGCACGAAGGUUGGCUAAUCCUGGUCGGACAUCAGGAGGUUAGUGCAAUGGCAUAAGCCAGCUUGACUGCGAGCGUGACGGCGCGAGCAGGUGCGAAAGCAGGUCAUAGUGAUCCGGUGGUUCUGAAUGGAAGGGCCAUCGCUCAACGGAUAAAAGGUACUCCGGGGAUAACAGGCUGAUACCGCCCAAGAGUUCAUAUCGACGGCGGUGUUUGGCACCUCGAUGUCGGCUCAUCACAUCCUGGGGCUGAAGUAGGUCCCAAGGGUAUGGCUGUUCGCCAUUUAAAGUGGUACGCGAGCUGGGUUUAGAACGUCGUGAGACAGUUCGGUCCCUAUCUGCCGUGGGCGCUGGAGAACUGAGGGGGGCUGCUCCUAGUACGAGAGGACCGGAGUGGACGCAUCACUGGUGUUCGGGUUGUCAUGCCAAUGGCACUGCCCGGUAGCUAAAUGCGGAAGAGAUAAGUGCUGAAAGCAUCUAAGCACGAAACUUGCCCCGAGAUGAGUUCUCCCUGACUCCUUGAGAGUCCUGAAGGAACGUUGAAGACGACGACGUUGAUAGGCCGGGUGUGUAAGCGCAGCGAUGCGUUGAGCUAACCGGUACUAAUGAACCGUGAGGCUUAACCUU